CCUCUGCUGUGAUGAUUUUAUGAAAUUAUAAUGCACAUGUCAGACUUCAGAGAUUUGUUCAAAAUCUAUGAGAAGAAAAUUUCAUACAUCCUGAGCAGAUG